rnacentral:rRNA from 1 species
AGUGAACGCUGGCGGUAGGCCUAACACAUGCAAGACGAACGGCAGCACAGUAAGAGCUUGCUCUUACGGGUGGCGAGUGGCGGACGGGUGAGGAAUACAUCGGAAUCUACUUUUUCGUGGGGGAUAACGUAGGGAAACUUACGCUAAUACCGCAUACGACCUACGGGUGAAAGCAGGGGAUCUUCGGACCUUGCGCGAUUGAAUGAGCCGAUGUCGGAUUAGCUAGUUGGCGGGGUAAAGGCCCACCAAGGCGACGAUCCGUAGCUGGUCUGAGAGGAUGAUCAGCCACACUGGAACUGAGACACGGUCCAGACUCCUACGGGAUGCAGCAGUGGGGAAUAUUGGACAAUGGGCGCAAGCCUGUUCCAGCCAUACCGCGUGGGUGAAGAAGGCCUUCGGGUUGUAAAGCCCUUUUGUUGGGAAAGAAAAGCAGCAGGUUAAUACCCCGCUGUUCUGACGGUACCCAAAGAAUAAGCACCGGCUAACUUCGUG